rnacentral:rRNA from 1 species
AACGAACGCUGGCGGCAGGCCUAACACAUGCAAGUCGAGCGCCUCGCAAGGGGAGCGGCAGACGGGUGAGUAACGCGUGGGAACGUGCCCUUCGGUUCGGAAUAACUCAGGGAAACUUGAGCUAAUACCGGAUACGUGCGUAAGCAGAAAGAUUUAUCGCCGAAGGAGCGGCCCGCGUCCGAUUAGCUAGUUGGUGAGGUAACGGCUCACCAAGGCGACGAUCGGUAGCUGGUCUGAGAGGAUGAUCAGCCACACUGGGACUGAGACACGGCCCAGACUCCUACGGGAGGCAGCAGUGGGGAAUAUUGGACAAUGGGCGCAAGCCUGAUCCAGCCAUGCCGCGUGAGUGAUGAAGGCCCUAGGGUUGUAAAGCUCUUUCGCCAGGGACGAUAAUGACGGUACCUGGAUAAGAAGCCCAGGCUAACUUCGUGCCAGCAGCCGCCGUAACAC